GGGUCAGUGAAGGACAUCUCCCACUAUACAGGGUCAGUAAAGGUCAUCUCCCACUAUACAGGGUCAGUGAAGGACAUCUCCCACUAUACAGGGGCAGUGAAGGACAUCUCCCACUAUACAGGGUCAGUGAAGAUCAUCUCCAACUAUACAGGGUCAGUGAAGGUCAUCUCCCUCUAUACAGGGUCAGUGAAGGACAUAUCCCACUAUACAGGGUCAGUGAAGGUCAUCUCCCUCUAUACAGGGUCAGUGAAGGACAUCUCCCACUAUACAGGGUCAGUGAAGGUCAUCUCCCCCCAUACAGGGUCAGUGAAGGUCAUCUCCCCCUAUACAGGGUCAGUGAAGGACAUCUCCCCCUAUACAGGGUCAGUGAAGGACAUCUCCCACUAUACAGGGUCAGUGAAGGACAUCUCCCCCCAUACAGGGUCAGUGAAGGACAUCUCCCCCUAUACAGGGUCAGUGAAGGACAUCUCCCCCUAUACAGGGUCAGUGAAGGACAUCUCCCCCCAUACAGGGUCAGUGAAGAUCAUCUCCCCACU
rnacentral:lncRNA from 1 species